rnacentral:rRNA from 1 species
AGCUAAGUUCUUAAGGGCGCAUGGUGGAUGCCU